GUAUGGCUGUUCGCCAUUUAAAGUGGUACGUGAGCUGGGUUUAAAACGUCGUGAGACAGUUUGGUCCCUAUCUUUCGUGGGCGUAGGAUAUUUGAGAGGCUCUGUUACUAGUACGAGAGGACCGUAAUGGACGAACCUCUGGUGUUCCAGUUGUCGCGCCAGCGGCAUAGCUGGGUAGCUAUGUUCGGAAAGGAUAACCGCUGAAAGCAUCUAA
rnacentral:rRNA from 1 species